AUACCGUAUACGUCCUCCGGGAGAAAGAUUUAUCGCUGAUAGAUGGGGCCGCGUUAGAUUAGCUUGUUGGUGAGGUAAUGGCUCACCAAGGCGACGAUCUAUAGCUGGUCUGAGAGGAUGAUCAGCCACACUGGGACUGAGACACGGCCCAGACUCCUACGGGAGGCAGCAGUGGGGAAUAUUGGACAAUGGGCGCAAGCCUGAUCCAGCAACGCCGCGUGAAUGAUGAAGGCCUUAGGGUUGUAAAAUUCUUUCGCUAGGGAAGAUAAUGACUGUACCUAGUAAAGAAGCCCCGGCUAACUCCGUGCCAGCAGCCGCGGUAAUACGGAGGGGGCUAGCGUUGUUCGGAAUUACUGGGCAUAAAGCGUGCGUAGGCGGAUCAAUAAGUAAGGGGUGAAAUCCCGAGGCUCAACCUCGGAACUGCCCUUUAAACUGUUGAUCUUGAGUUCUGGAGAGGUGAGUGGAAUUGCUAGUGUAGAGGUGAAAUUCGUAGAUAUUAGGAGGAACACCAGAGGCGAAGGCGGCUUACUGGACAUAUACUGACGCUGAGGCACGAAAGUGUGGGUAGCAAACAGGAUUAGAUACCCUGGUAGUCCACACCGUAAACGAUGAGAGCUAGUUGUCUGCAGGCAUGCCUGUAGGUGACGCAGCUAACGCAUUAAGCUCUCCGCCUGGGGAGUACGGUCGCAAGAUUAAAACUCAAAGAAAUUGACGGGGGCCCGCACAAGCGGUGGAGCAUGUGGUUUAAUUCGAUGAUACGCGAGGAACCUUACCUAGGCUAUAAUGUGCGCGCUAUCCGGUGAAAGCCGGAGUUCCUUCGGGACGCAAAACAAGGUGCUGCAUGGUUGUCGUCAGCUCGUGCCGUGAGGUGUUGGCUUAAGUGCCGCAACGAGCGCAACCCCUAUUGUUAGUUGCCAGCGAGUAAUGUCGGGGACUCUAACAAGACUGCCGGCGUAAGCCGAGAGGAAGGUGGGGAUGACGUCAAAUCAUCAUGGCCUUUAUGCCUAGGGCUACACACGUGCUACAAUGGACGGUACAGAGGGUCGCUAACCCGCGAGGGGGUGCUAAUCUCAGAAAGCCGUUCCCAGUUCGGAUUGGAGUCUGGAACUCGACUCCAUGAAGGUGGAAUCGCUAGUAAUCGCGCAUCAGCCAUGGCGCGGUGAAUACGUUCCCGGACCUUGUACACACCGCCCGUCAAGCCAUGGAAGCUGAGGGUGCCUGAAGAUGGUGACUUUACGUGGAGCUAUCAUA
rnacentral:rRNA from 1 species